rnacentral:rRNA from 1 species
CCGUGAGGGAAAGUUGAAAUAGAACUUUGCAGAGAGAGUUAACAGGGCGUGAAACCGUUAAUUGGCAAACGAAUCGGAGCCACGAAGUCGUUUCGUCGAUAGUUUGGCUGAGUUCAGUGUUUAUGAGGUUGCACAAAUUUCGUAAGCGCGUACUCUCAAGUUGAACCAUCUUUGUAAGCGUACACUGCAACCAGUUAGACGAUUACCGAUGGGCCCAGUAGGCUCGGUGUAGCGCAAGCUAUGCCCUGUUUACGAAGCAUUUGUUUAUUGCGGGAGGUAGUAAGCUGGCUCUGUGAAUGCAGGUGUCCGGUUUGCUGGCUCGUAGUAAGUGAGCUAUUGGUAAAUACUGACUGGCAAAAUGAAAAUCACAUUCGUUUAACGUGUGUUGUAUAGACAAAGCGCUGGCGGCGCGUGCUGUUACGCAGUUGGCGCGUAAGUUUUUAAAGUUCAGUGCUUUUGAAUUUAGACUUGCAUGCUAUCAACGGGGCAACUCUUGGUGCAUGUAUAGCUUCUAUCUAAUCGGGUAUUGACUUGGCUUGCGUGAAAGUCAGCUGUGAAUCGUUUGGCGGCAUGCGUCAGUUAGUUGCAAUUUGAAUUGGCAGUGAGUAGGUCGGCUUUCCGAAC